AGAGUUUGAUCCUGGCUCAGGAUGAACGCUAGCUACAGGCUUAACACAUGCAAGUCGAGGGGCAGCAUCAUCAAAGCUUGCUUUGAUGGAUGGCGACCGGCGCACGGGUGAGUAACACGUAUCCAACCUGCCGACAACACUGGGAUAGCCUUUCGAAAGAAAGAUUAAUACCGGAUGGUAUAGUUUUCCCGCAUGGGAUGAUUAUUAAAGAAUUUCGGUUGUCGAUGGGGAUGCGUUCCAUUAGGCAGUUGGCGGGGUAACGGCCACCAAACCUCGAUGGAUAGGGGUUCUGAGAGGAAGGUCCCCCACAUUGGAACUGAGACACGGUCCAAACGUCCUACGGGAGCA
rnacentral:rRNA from 1 species